rnacentral:piRNA from 1 species
GCCUGGUGACUCAUUUCUGAUGGCAAA